UAUGCCUAGCCCUAAACAGAACAAGUAUCUUACUAAUACUUCCGCCAGGGAACAACGAGCUUCAGCUUAAAACCCAAAGGACUUGGCGGUGCUUUAGACCCCCCUAGAGGAGCCUGUUAUAGAACCGAUAAUCCCCGUUCAACCUCACCUCCUCUUGUUAUUUUCCCGCCUGUAUACCGCCGUCGUCAGUUUACCCUGUGAAGGCUUAACAGUAAGCAAAAUUGGUAAAGCCCAAAACGUCAGGUCGAGGUGCAGCUUAUGAGGAGGGAAGAAAUGGGCUACAUUUUCUGAUCCAGAAAAUACGAAUGUUGUACUGAAAAAACAUCUUGAAGGAGGAUUUAGUAGUAAGGAGAGAGUAGAGCGCUCUCCUGAAAAAGGCUCUGAAGCGCGCACACACCG
rnacentral:rRNA from 1 species